UACGGGGGGGGCAAGCGUUGUUCGGAAUUACUGGGCGUAAAGGGCUCGUAGGCGGCCAACUAAGUUCAGACGUGAAAUCCCUCGGCUUAACCGGGGGAACUGCGUCUGAUACUGGAUGGCUUGAGGUUGGGAGAGGGAUGCGGGAAUUCCAGGUGUAGCGGUGAAAUGCGUAGAUAUCUGGAGGAACACCGGGUGGCGAAGGCGGCAUCCUGGACCAAUUCUGGACGCUGAGGAGCGAA
rnacentral:rRNA from 1 species